rnacentral:tRNA from 1 species
GUAAGAAAAGGUUAGAGAGAACCGUUGCUUUGACAUAACAAAAGAGAACCUUACA